rnacentral:rRNA from 1 species
UUAUACCGUGAAACUGCGAAUGGCUCAUUAAAUCAGUUAUCGUUUAUUUGAUAGUACCUUACUACUUGGAUAACCGUGGUAAUUCUAGAGCUAAUACAUGCUGAAAACCCCGACUUCGGGAGGGGUGUGUUUAUUAGAUAAAAAACCAAUGCCCUCCGGGGCUCCUUGGUGAUUCAUAAUAACUUAACGGAUCGCAUGGCCUUGCGCCGGCGACGGUUCAUUCAAAUUUCUGCCCUAUCAACUUUCGAUGGUAAGGUAUUGGCUUACCAUGGUUUCAACGGGUAACGGGAGAUUAGGGUUUGACUCCGGAGAGGGAGCCUGAGAAACGGCUACCACAUCCAAGGAAGGCAGCAGGCGCGCAAAUUACCCAAUCCCGACACGGGGAGGUAGUGACAAUAAAUACUGAUACAGGGCUCUUUUGGGUCUUGUAAUUGGAAUGAGUACAAUUUAAACCCCUUAACGAGGAACAAUUGGAGGGCAAGUCUGGUGCCAGCAGCCGCGGUAAUUCCAGCUCCAAUAGCGUAUAUUAAAGUUGUUGCAGUUAAAAAGCUCGUAGUUGAACCUUGGGCCUGGCUGGCCGGUCCGCCUCACCGCGUGCACUGGUCCGGCCGGGCCUUUCCUUCUGGAGAGCCCCAUGCCCUUCACUGGGUGUGCGGGGGAACCAGGACUUUUACUUUGAAAAAAUUAGAGUGUUCAAAGCAGGCCUUUGCUCGAAUACGUUAGCAUGGAAUAAUAGAAUAGGACGUGCGGUCCUAUUUUGUUGGUUUCUAGGACCGCCGUAAUGAUUAAUAGGGAUAGUCGGGGGCAUCCGUAUUCAAUUGUCAGAGGUGAAAUUCUUGGAUUUAUUGAAGACGAACUACUGCGAAAGCAUUUGCCAAGGAUGUUUUCAUUAAUCAGUGAACGAAAGUUAGGGGAUCGA